UACGGAGGGUGCGAGCGUUAUCCGGAAUUACUGGGUUUAAAGGGUGCGUAGGCGGCGCUGUAAGUCAGGAGUGAAAGUUUGCGGCUCAACCGUAAAAUUGCUUUUGAUACUGCGGUGCUGGAGUUAGGAUGAGGUCAGCGGAAUGUGGCAUGUAGCGGUGAAAUGCAUAGAUAUGCCAUAGAACACCAAUUGCGAAGGCAGCUGGCUAGACCUGGAUUGACGCUGAGGCACGAAAGCGUGGGGAGCGAACAGG
rnacentral:rRNA from 1 species